rnacentral:rRNA from 1 species
UACAGAGGGGGCAAGCGUUAUUCGGAAUUAUUGGGCGUAAAGGGCGCGUAGGCGGCCAUUCAAGUGACGGGUGAAAUCCCUCGGCUCAACCGAGGAACUGCCUGUCAGACUGGAUGGCUCGAGACCGGGAGAGGUGAGUGGAAUUCCCAGUGUAGCGGUGAAAUGCGUAGAUAUCAGGAGGAACACCGGUGGCGAAGGCGGGUCUCUGGGCCGAUACUGACGCUGAGGAGCGAAAGCGUGGGGAGCGAACAGG